GGAAUUAAGAUUGGUUCGGGAAGGUUUCUUAUAGAAGGCAGGACUUAAAGGAAGAUAGGAAGGUCAACAGAAUGAAGGACAGAGAGCAUUCAGAGUAUGGGGGACAGUCAGGAAAAAUGAGUCUUAAUUUUAACAUGCAGACCAUGAAAAAGAAACUUUCUUUUAGGCCAGGGCUGGCAGAAAUACUCUACUUUUAAUGAUUUCAACUGGCUCUAUAGAAAAGGGGGUGGUUUCUUCAAGGCUUUUACUAGAAACUUAGAUGUUUCAAGUCUCAUUUUUCCUUUUAACUCCCUCAAAAAAUCAGCUUAUUUCCUGAGCUUUGGGAACUUCUCCUUAGUUCAGUACCCCUAGACAUGCCCUUACUCCUCUGCCCUAGUACUUACAUACUCAGUUAUGCAAUGGUUAAUUUGUAUUUGCUCUCAUGUUACUUUCUAAAAGUUCUCAUCUAAGUUCUUCCUCUCUAGUGAGAAGGUUCUCAGGGGCUCAGGCUGUUUUCUAUCUCUUUUGGUUCCCUCUCUCCCACACCAUGCCUAAAAGCUUUCUGAAAAUGGGGGUGUUUAAUAAAUACCGAUAAGCAACCCAACUGAUUUUUCCUUUAACCUUUUGGAAGCACUGCUCCAUGGGAACACUUGGGAAGAGCUUUGUGCAGAGGAAGUACUAAGUCUCCUUGUUUAUUAACUGAGAAGGGUUUUUCAUCCCAUUUCAAAGACAGAAGAAUAAAAUCAGGGACUCAGGAUUCUCUUCAGCUAGAAGACUCCCAUAUAAGGAGAUGCCAUAAAAAGACCACAGCUGAGACAAGAGUUGGUCAAAACAACCAGCUUGCAAGUUCUGCCAAAAGUCCUUUUUCCCUAUUUAAUCCCUCAUCGUUCUCCUAGUACCAGACAGGAAAGGAGAGCCCCGCAGUGUGACGCAGGCACAUUGUGCCUUUGUUGCGUGGGCCUGGAGGCACUCACCCAGAAGAGAAGUUAAAAAAAAAAAAAGAAAAGAAAAAAGAAAACUGCAUUUGCUCUGGUGUCCAACAACUGUGGAAGCAGACUGGAGUGACACCCCCUCCCAUCCUUUUCCCCACCCCCUCAACCUUCCUGUCACAGGCCCAUUCUGAAACUGCCAACACACAGUGUUACUGCAGGUGUUUGUAAACAAAAGAUCUGGGGACUAAAAAAGAAGCACACUCAGUGAGCAAAGCUCAUGCUCUUUCCAGCUGGCCAAGGCCCUCUGCAGAAUUGUAAGGUACAUGGCUGCUGACCGAGCUCCACCCGUGUCAUGCCCUUAUCAGAGCUGGCUACAGCCCAGAGAGACAGGCCAGUGUUCUUCAUGACAACUUGACAGAAGUUCUGGCAGCCAGAAGAAGCUUGGAGAAACGGAAAUGGGCUCAAAGGAAAAGCAAAUAAACAAAGAGCUAAUCCCUCUGUGCUGCCUGACCUGCUUCACCUGUGUUGGAACAUUGGGAAGGAACUCAGCUCUUCCAAAACUGUGGCAUUCAUUAUUAUAGCAAUGUAAGAGAAAGGUACAAUGGGGCAGCUAGGUGGUACUAUAGAUUAGAGCACUGGGGCAUGAAAUCAGGAAGAUCCUGAGUUCAAAUCCAGCCUCAGCCACUUAACUGUAUAACCUGGGCAGUCUCUUAAGCUUGUUUGCCUCAGUUUCCUCAUCUGUAAAAUGAUCUGGAGAAAGAAAUGGAAAACUAUUUCUAUACCUCUCCAAGAACUUCCCUAAACCAUCUUGGGGUCUUGAAGAAUUGGACACAACUGAAACUGCUAAACAAUAACAAAAAACACAAUGGUAGAAAUGAGUGACAGCUUUAGAUUGGAAAAUAUAUACAGGCAUCUCACUCUAACACAAACAACUAUAAGGUAGUUUAGUCUAACAGAGGAAGUAUUAGACAUGAAGACAAGAAAACCUGGGUUCAAAUUCAGCUUUUAUAGUUGUGUGACGAUGGAUAUGUUAUUUAACUACCCUCAGCCUCAGUUUUCCUCUUCUGAAAAAUUGGAAGAAAUAAUACCAGUAGGAUUUAUAUAAUUCAUAUGUGAGAAUCAAAUGAUAAAAUGUAUGUAAAGUGCUUUGCAAACAUUAAAAUGCUAUGCAAAUAUCAGCUACUAUUAUUAGAAAGCAUAAUCCAUUCUGAGGUAGAUCUGUCUUUGUUGUCAUUUGAGGGAAUUUAGUUUUUAGAAAAACCAAAAGAACUUUAAGGCUUUCUGAUCUUCAA